AUCAGCCCAGGCGAUGAAGCUCGCCUUGACCGCCACCAAAGGCUGAUGGCUUCUACCACAGA
rfam:Mycobacterium xenopi RIVM700367 contig22, whole genome shotgun sequence.